UCACUCUGUAGACCAGGCUGGCUCGAUCUCAGAAAUCUGCCUGCUUCCCAAGUGCUGGGAUUAAAGGUGAGUGCCACCACUGCCCAGCUGGGGGCUCCCCUUUUAGGGAUGCUCUUGAACGCUAAUGUUUGGUGAGGACCAGAAGCCUGCUUGGUUCUCAGACUGCAUUAUUUAGUGGCUUUCCAAACAAACACUAGGGGAAGCUGACAAGAACCAGGCUGGCCUGGCAGGGUAAAGGUUCUUAGCGUCCAUUACAGUCCAGCUCAUAACCGUAAACUCUCCUUGCUCAGGAGCACAGUACCAUGCAGAAGUUACACUGCACACAAGUUGACAAAAUCGUGGCCCAGUAUGACAAAGAGAAGUCGACUCAUGAGAAAAUCCUAGAGAAGGCGAUGAAGAAGAAGGGGUAAGACUGAUGAUUGACUUGCGAUGCAUCCCCCCUGUAGGAGUGUGACUCAGCUGCCUUCAUGGACCACAAGGGACUCAGUGUUACUGCGACUUCAUCAUUAAAGACUACCCCUAGGAAAAAAAUGUGAUCCCUUCAUUUCAGUCCCUGUGUCAUCACAGCGGGGUGUGGCAUCAGUCAGCUUAGUUGUGGUUUAAGGAUGGUCUCAAUAGAGUUCUCAGAACCUUUAGUUCAUGGCAAUCUGUACUGUGUUUUGGGGUUUUUGUUUGUUUGUUUGGUUAGUUUGGUUUGGUUUUUGUUGUUGUUGUUUGUGAUUAAGAAGUUAGC
rnacentral:lncRNA from 1 species